AGAACGAACGCUGGCGGCGUGGAUAAGACAUGCAAGUCGGACGCGACUUACUUUGUUAGCAAUAACAGAGUAAGUUGAGUGGCGAAAGGGUGCGUAACACGUGGGUAUUUACCAAGAAGUGGGGAAUAGCUCGGCGAAAGCCGAAUUAAUACCGCAUACGAUCGAAAGAUCAAAGCCGGGGACCGCAAGGCCUGGCGCUUUUUGAGAAGCCCGCGGCCCAUCAGCUUGUUGGCGGGGUAACGGCCCACCAAGGCUAUGACGGGUAGCUGGUCUGAGAGGACGACCAGCCACACUGGAACUGAGACACGGUCCAGACACCUACGGGUGGCAGCAGUCGAGAAUUUUUCACAAUGGGCGC
rnacentral:rRNA from 1 species